CGUUAUGGCGAGCUGUGCGUGGGAGGGCUUAGGGCCCUGCCGGGUUUCCAUUCCCUGGUCGACCAACCUGCGUACAGCUCGCCGCCUUU
rnacentral:antisense_RNA from 4 species